rnacentral:rRNA from 1 species
CCUACGGGGGGCUGCAGUGGGGAAUAUUGGACAAUGGGUGAAAGCCUGAUCCAGCCAUGCCGCGUGUGUGAAGAAGGCCUUCGGGUUGUAAAGCACUUUCAGUGGGGAAGAAAGCCUUGGGGCUAAUACCCUCGAGGAAGGACAUCACCCACAGAAGAAGCACCGGCUAACUCCGUGCCAGCAGCCGCGGUAAUACGGAGGGUGCGAGCGUAAUCGGAAUUACUGGGCGUAAAGCGCGCGUAGGCGGUCUGAUAAGCCGGUUGUGAAAGCCCCGGGCGCACCCUGGGAACGGCAUCCGGAAGUGAAGGCGGAAGUGCGAGGGGAGGAGGGGGAAUUCCCCGUGGAGGCGGGAAAUGGGGUAGUGACGGGAAGGACAACGAGGGGCGAGGGAGGCCUCUGGGAAUGAACCGCCCGUUGUGGUCCCAAAGCUGGGGAACCAACCGGGUUAACUCCCCUUGGAGUC